rnacentral:rRNA from 1 species
GCCCUUAGAGUUUGAUCCUGGCUCAGGACGAACGCUGGCGGCGUGCCUAAUACAUGCAAGUCGAGCGAGCGGAACUAACAGAUUUACUUCGGUAAUGACGUUAGGAAAGCGAGCGGCGGAUGGGUGAGUAACACGUGGGGAACCUGCCCCAUAGUCUGGGAUACCACUUGGAAACAGGUGCUAAUACCGGAUAAGAAAGCAGAUCGCAUGAUCAGCUUUUAAAAGGCGGCGUAAGCUGUCGCUAUGGGAUGGCCCCGCGGUGCAUUAGCUAGUUGGUAAGGUAAAGGCUUACCAAGGCGAUGAUGCAUAGCCGAGUUGAGAGACUGAUCGGCCACAUUGGGACUGAGACACGGCCCAAACUCCUACGGGAGGCAGCAGUAGGGAAUCUUCCACAAUGGACGCAAGUCUGAUGGAGCAACGCCGCGUGAGUGAAGAAGGUUUUCGGAUCGUAAAGCUCUGUUGUUGGUGAAGAAGGAUAGAGGUAGUAACUGGCCUUUAUUUGACGGUAAUCAACCAGAAGGUCACGGCUAACUACGUGCCAGCAGCCGCGGUAAUACGUAGGUGGCAAGCGUUGUCCGGAUUUAUUUGGCGUAAAGCGAGCGCAGGCGGAAGAAUAAGUCUGAUGUGAAAGCCCUCGGCUUAACCGAGGAACUGCAUCGGAAACUGUUUUUCUUGAGUGCAGAAGAGGAGAGUGGAACUCCAUGUGUAGCGGUGGAAUGCGUAGAUAUAUGGAAGAACACCAGUGGCGAAGGCGGCUCUCUGGUCUGCAACUGACGCUGAGGCUCGAAAGCAUGGGUAGCGAACAGGAUUAGAUACCCUGGUAGUCCAUGCCGUAAACGAUGAGUGCUAAGUGUUGGGAGGUUUCCGCCUCUCAGUGCUGCAGCUAACGCAUUAAGCACUCCGCCUGGGGAGUACGACCGCAAGGUUGAAACUCAAAGGAAUUGACGGGGGCCCGCACAAGCGGUGGAGCAUGUGGUUUAAUUCGAAGCAACGCGAAGAACCUUACCAGGUCUUGACAUCUAGUGCCAUUUGUAGAGAUACAAAGUUCCCUUCGGGGACGCUAAGACAGGUGGUGCAUGGCUGUCGUCAGCUCGUGUCGUGAGAUGUUGGGUUAAGACCCGCAACGAGCGCAACCCUUGUUAUUAGUUGCCAGCAUUAAGUUGGGCACUCUAAUGAGACUGCCGGUGACAAACCGGAGGAAGGUGGGGAUGACGUCAAGUCAUCAUGCCCCUUAUGACUUGGGCUACACACGUGCUACAAUGGGCAGUACAACGAGAAGCGAGCCUGCGAAGGCAAGCGAAUCUCUGAAAGCUGUUCUCAGUUCGGACUGCAGUCUGCAACUCGACUGCACGAAGCUGGAAUCGCUAGUAAUCGCGGAUCAGCACGCCGCGGUGAAUACGUUCCCGGGCCUUGUACACACCGCCCGUCACACCAUAGGAGUCUGCAAUGCCCAAAGCCGGUGGCCUAACCUUCGGGAAGGAGCCGUCUAAGGCAGGGCAGAUGACUGGGGUGAA